rnacentral:rRNA from 1 species
UACAGAGGUCCCAAGCGUUGUUCGGAUUCACUGGGCGUAAAGGGUGCGUAGGUGGUGGGGUAAGUCUGAUGUGAAAUCUCCGAGCUCAACUCGGAAAUGGCAUUGGAUACUAUUCUGCUAGAGGAUUGGAGGGGAGACUGGAAUUCUUGGUGUAGCAGUGAAAUGCGUAGAUAUCAAGAGGAACACCAGUGGCGAAAGCGAGUCUCUUGACAAUUCCUGACACUGAGGCACGAAAGCUAGGGGAGCAAACAGG